rnacentral:rRNA from 1 species
GACGAACGCUGGCGGCGUGCCUAAUACAUGCAAGUAGGACGCAGUUGCGAACGGGUGAGUAACGCGUAGGUACCUGCCUAUUAGAGGGGGAUAACUAUUGGAAACGAUAGCUAAUACCGCAUACUAGUAGAUGGACCUGCGUUGUAUUAGGUCGUAUGUAGGGUAAUGGCCUACCUAGGCGACGAUACAUAGCCGCCCUGCGAGGGUGAUUGGGCAAACUGGGACUGGGGAACGGCCCAGACUCCUACGGGAGGCAGCAGUAGGGAAUCUUCGGAAAUGGGGGGAAAGCUGACCGAGCAACGCCGCGUGAGUGAAGAAGGUUUUCGGAUCGUAAAGCUCUGUUGUUAAGGAAGCGGUACUUAACCAGAAAGGGACGGCUAACUACGUGCCAGCAGCCGCGGUAAUUC